UCUUGUAAUUCCGCAGUGAAGAAUAUUAAAUUCUGUGUUACAAUAUUGCAGAACAUAUAUCUUUUAUCAAAGAUGUGGCUGCAACUCAGCCUCCCAAGCAUUUGCCUCAUCUGUUGAGAAUGCUCAAAACAAGUGGUGAAUCAAUUAUUUCUCCUGGAGCAAAACAAGGGACAAUACCCCUUGCCAUCCCAUUGGCAAAGAACAGCUCAGGAUGGAGAUGCCAGUUGUGGAGAUCCGUAAACAUGGAGUUUGGCUCCUGGCAAAGAAUGUAAGUGAAGUGGACAUACCAUUUUACACGUAACACACAUCUUUGUACUUUGUUGAAAAGCCCUCUACCGCACGUUCACAGGGACUGUCUAUAUUUCUCUACACAUCAUGAUUUAUUGAUUUGUAUGUUCCAUCUCCUCCGUGCACAGGUGGAUCAAUUGAUUCACGGAAUCCUGGUUAAGGUGGGAAAUA